rnacentral:tRNA from 1 species
GACAGGAUGGCCGAGUGGUUAAGGCGACAGUUUUGAAUUUGCCUCAUGGGCCCCGGUCCAUCCGUCGCGGCUCCUGGCCGAGCAACAUUCCAGCUGUUUCACUUUGUGAGCGUGAGUUCAAACCUCACUCCUGUCG